AAUCUUCCACAAUGGGCGAAAGCCUGAUGGAGCAACGCCGCGUGAGUGAAGAAGGCUUUCGGAUCGUAAAACUCUUUUCUAAGGGAAGAACAAGUACAGUCGUAACUGGCUGUACCUUGACGGUACCUGAUUAGAAAGCCAUGGCUAACUACGUGCCAGCAGCCGCGGUAAUUCGUAGGUGGCAAGCGUUGUCCGGAAUUAUUGGGCGUAAAGCGCGAGCAGGCGGUCCUUUAAGUCUGAUGUGAAAGCCCACGGCUCAACCGUGGAGGGUCAUUGGAAACUGGGGGGCUUGAGUGCAGAAGAGGAAAGUGGAAUUCCAAGUGUAGCGGUGAAAUGCGUAGAGAUUUGGAGGAACACCAGUGGCGAAGGCGACUUUCUGGUCUGUAACUGACGCUGAGGCGCGAAAGCGUGGGGAGCAAACA
rnacentral:rRNA from 1 species